rnacentral:lncRNA from 1 species
GCUUCUCGCUGUGACUACAACAGGGUGAGCUUGCUAUCCUUGUGGCACAGGGCCUUUUGCAUUGUGGAAGAUGGAGCGGCUCAUAUAGUCCAUAAGUUUUGUGCGUAGCUGUGUACCCUGUCCCUGUGAGCUGGUUCUGCCUGGCACCUCGGUGACCUCGAGGAAAGAAGCUGAGAGACAGAGUCUUGCUUUGUCACCCAGGCUGGAGGGCAGUGGCACCAUCAUAGCUCACUGCAGACUCGAACUCCUGGGCUCAAGGGAUCCUCCUGCCUCGGCUUCCCAAAAUGGUGAGAUUAUGGACAUGAGACACUGCACUGUGCCUAUUGUGUAUCUUGUCGGCCUAAAAUUGAAACAUGCCUUGUGAGCAUUUACUGCAACUUCAAUGAGUGAUUAUUAUGUUUCUUUUAAUCCUGAGAGACUGUAUUACUUGUGCACUUUUUUUUUUUUUGGAUGGGGGAAAUUAGAUUUACUCCCUAUAUGUUUUAGAAAAUUGAAGUUUUAAAUAUCAGACUCACUA